rnacentral:rRNA from 3 species
AAGGUGGCCUGUGAGGGUUGCUGGAGGUAUCAGAAGUGCGAAUGCUGACAUAAGUAACGAUAAAGCGGGUGAAAAGCCCGCUCGCCGGAAGACCAAGGGUUCCUGUCCAACGUUAAUCGGGGCAGGGUGAGUCGACCCCUAAGGCGAGGCCGAAAGGCGUAGUCGAUGGGAAACGGGUUAAUAUUCCCGUACUUGGUGUUACUGCGAAGGGGGGACGGAGAAGGCUAUGUUGGCCGGGCGACGGUUGUCCCGGUUUAAGCGUGUAGGUGUGUGUUCCAGGUAAAUCCGGUUCACUUUAACACUGAGGCGUGAUGACGAGGCACUACGGUGCUGAAGCAACAAAUGCCCUGCUUCCAGGAAAAGCCUCUAAGCAUCAGGUAACAUCAAAUCGUACCCCAAACCGACACAGGUGGUCAGGUAGAGAAUACCAAGGCGCUUGAGAGAACUCGGGUGAAGGAACUAGGCAAAAUGGUGCCGUAACUUCGGGAGAAGGCACGCUGACACGUAGGUGAAGUGAUUUACUCAUGGAGCUGAAGUCAGUCGAAGAUACCAGCUGGCUGCAACUGUUUAUUAAAAACACAGCACUGUGCAAACACGAAAGUGGACGUAUACGGUGUGACGCCUGCCCGGUGCCGGAAGGUUAAUUGAUGGGGUCAGCGCAAGCGAAGCUCCUGAUCGAAGCCCCGGUAAACGGCGGCCGUAACUAUAACGGUCCUAAGGUAGCGAAAUUCCUUGUCGGGUAAGUUCCGACCUGCACGAAUGGCGUAAUGAUGGCCAGGCUGUCUCCACCCGAGACUCAGUGAAAUUGAACUCGCUGUGAAGAUGCAGUGUACCCGCGGCAAGACGGAAAGACCCCGUGAACCUUUACUAUAGCUUGACACUGAACAUUGAGCCUUGAUGUGUAGGAUAGGUGGGAGGCUUUGAAGUGUGGACGCCAGUCUGCAUGGAGCCGACCUUGAAAUACCACCCUUUAAUGUUUGAUGUUCUAACGUGGACCCGUGAUCCGGGUUGCGGACAGUGUCUGGUGGGUAGUUUGACUGGGGCGGUCUCCUCCUAAAGAGUAACGGAGGAGCACGAAGGUUGGCUAAUCCUGGUCGGACAUCAGGAGGUUAGUGCAAUGGCAUAAGCCAGCUUGACUGCGAGCGUGACGGCGCGAGCAGGUGCGAAAGCAGGUCAUAGUGAUCCGGUGGUUCUGAAUGGAAGGGCCAUCGCUCAACGGAUAAAAGGUACUCCGGGGAUAACAGGCUGAUACCGCCCAAGAGUUCAUAUCGACGGCGGUGUUUGGCACCUCGAUGUCGGCUCAUCACAUCCUGGGGCUGAAGUAGGUCCCAAGGGUAUGGCUGUUCGCCAUUUAAAGUGGUACGCGAGCUGGGUUUAGAACGUCGUGAGACAGUUCGGUCCCUAUCUGCCGUGGGCGCUGGAGAACUGAGGGGGGCUGCUCCUAGUACGAGAGGACCGGAGUGGACGCAUCACUGGUGUUCGGGUUGUCAUGCCAAUGGCACUGCCCGGUAGCUAAAUGCGGAAGAGAUAAGUGCUGAAAGCAUCUAAGCACGAAACUUGCCCCGAGAUGAGUUCU